GAAGAAUCUAUUGACCGCCAAGCCUGCACAUUACCGUGUGCAGGGGAGGGCGGCGAAAAGAGGAAUCG
rnacentral:ncRNA from 1 species